AAGUUGAAUUUUGUUAGUAUUUUUUGGGUCCAAUAGAAUUAUAAAUUUUGAAUAGACCUUUUGUUUUGCUGUAUUAUUUUCAUUAAAUACGAUUGUUUUGGCAUCUUUCACGCCGUAGUAGGUAGUGGACCAAUAGAGUUUUAGAUUCUAUUGCAGAUUUGAUAAUAUUGAUGCCAAUGUGUAUAAGACCAUGAUUAUCGGCAAUCCUUAAUGGGGUUUUUAAGCUAUAUAACUGAUUUAAUUAAAUCAAAAAUAAAUAAAAACCUUCUUACCGAUCCUUAAUUAGUAAUUUUGGAGAUCGAUCCUUAAUGGGAUUUUUUCUUCUCUCUUUUUUUAAUCCUCUUCUCUGUCUUUGUCUUCUCCAUCUGAGUUGAUUCCAUUGAUUUCAAAUUGUGUUGACUCUCUGUCUUGGUGACUCCUUCUGAGGACUUUGUGAUUACUCGAGAUGGAAACAAGGUACCUGUAUCGGAACUUGAUUGUAAUUGGGGGUUUGUGUGGUUCAUCCUUUUGAGAUUGUGAUUUGAAGUUGAGAUUUUUUUUUUGCUGAAGUUUGAUCUUUUAUCUUAUUAUUACUGAUGGGAUGAUGAGAAGCAACCAAUUGGGGGUUUGUCUGCUUAGCUAUGAGAUGAAUCGUGGGUACUUUGCUGAUAUGAAAGAGUUUAAGGAACAUGGUGGUAAGGUGAAGAGAGAGUUAAGAGGCAUCGAGGAACAGAGAAAGAUGAUGAGAAGAGAAGCAGGAGAAGUGAGAAGAAGAAGGAAAAUAAAUCUCACAAGCACCACCGAUCAAGUACAUGAAAGUGAGAGUGAAGAAGAUGUUCUUGAUGAAGGUGGUGAUGAUGAGGAUGAUUUGGAGGAAGAGCAUGAGACACAAGUUCGUCCAGAAGCAGAGCCUGAGGUGAAGUGAGAGUGAAGGCGACGGAAGCGUUUGAGAAGAAGACCAAAAGCAGGUGAAGUAACAAUGUUUUCAACAUCGAUUAUUACUCUUCUUCCUGAGGGAUAAUCAUGCUUUAAAAAGCUCUGCAACAACAAGCUUGUGACUGGUGUUACAAUCAGAGGGGGGAGGGGGAAGAAAAAUACAAGAGGAAAUAAAUUGUAAAAAGACUAGAAAAUAUAUUGUCAAUAUUAUUUUCUCAUUUAUAAAAGUCAUGAAAAAAACAAAAUUCUUAA